AUACCUUUCUCGGCCUUUUGGCUAAGAUCAAGUGUAGUAUCUGUUCUUAUCAGUUUAAUAUCUGAUAUGUGGGCCAUCGGCCCACACGAUAUUAAAUUAAUAUUUUUAGGGGGAGGGCCCGCCACGUCAGCUUGCUGACUGGGCCUUCGCGCGUCGCCCAUGCGUUGCACUACUGCACGGGCCUGGCGCACCCCAC
rfam:Erythranthe guttata cultivar DTN x IM62 scaffold_2_contig_8, whole genome shotgun sequence.